UACAUAGGGGGCAAGCGUUAUCCGGAUUUACUGGGUGUAAAGGGAGCGUAGGCGGCAAGGUAAGCCAGAAGUGAAAGCCCGUGGCUCAACUGCGGGACUGCUUUUGGAACUGUCUAGCUAGAUUGCAGGAGAGGUAAGUGGAAUUCCUAGUGUAGCGGUGAAAUGCGUAGAUAUUAGGAGGAACACCAGUGGCGAAGGCGGCUUACUGGACUGUAAAUGACGCUGAGGCUCGAAAGCGUGGGGAGCAAACAGG
rnacentral:rRNA from 1 species